UGCUGAGAACUUGGUCUUAGGGUGUCCUG
rnacentral:piRNA from 1 species